rnacentral:rRNA from 1 species
AACGAACGCUGGCGGCAGGCUUAACACAUGCAAGUCGAACGCCCCGCAAGGGGAGUGGCAGACGGGUGAGUAACGCGUGGGAAUCUACCCAUCUCUGCGGAAUAGCUCCGGGAAACUGGAAUUAAUACCGCAUACGCCCUACGGGGGAAAGAUUUAUCGGGGAUGGAUGAGCCCGCGUUGGAUUAGCUAGUUGGUGGGGUAAAGGCCUACCAAGGCGACGAUCCAUAGCUGGUCUGAGAGGAUGAUCAGCCACAUUGGGACUGAGACACGGCCCAAACUCCUCCGGGAGGCAGCAGUGGGGAAUAUUGGACAAUGGGCGCAAGCCUGAUCCAGCCAUGCCGCGUGAGUGAUGAAGGCCUUAGGGUUGUAAAGCUCUUUCACCGGUGAAGAUAAUGACGGUAACCGGAGAAGAAGCCCCGGCUAACUCCGUGCCAGCAGCCGCCGUAA